CACGUAGGGGACGAGCGUUGUCCGGAUUCAUUGGGCGUAAAGCGCGCGUAGGCGGCUCGGAAAGUCGGUCGUGAAAUGCCGGGGCUCAACCCCGGGACUGCGUCCGAUACUCUCGAGCUGGAGGCAGGUAGGGGAGAUCGGAAUUCCUGGUGUGAGCGGUGGAAAUGACGCAGAUAUCAGGAGGAACACCGGUGGCGAAAGCGGCUCUCUGGAACGGUACUGACGCUGAGACGCGAAAGCGUGGGGAGCGAACAGG
rnacentral:rRNA from 1 species